AUCGAAUGUACGGAGAAUAUCCGCUUCGCUGUUUCUUGCAUAGUCUCGAAGUCGUUCUGUACUUCCUCCGCUGUAAACAAACGUAUAAAGUGUAAAAUAAGAAAAUUUAUUACAUUUUAUUCAAAACAAAAAAAUGUAAUCCAAUCAUAACCGAUGACCAAACACUUGAAGCCCCGAGGCAUUUGUAAUAACGUUUGGAAUGUAAAGUUGUAAAUAAUCCUCUGGCUGUGACGUUCCACAAUCCGAAGUGAAUUCGAUCGUUAACCAUUUUACGGAUUCUGGAAAAUUAACUUUAUAAUGUGACACUGCAGAAG